GUAACAAGAUUUCCGUAGGUGAACCUGCGGAAGGAUCAUUGUCGAAACCUGCAAAACAGACCCGUGAACAUGUGUAAAUACGUUGGAGGUCGCGAUGUUGGACGCAUUUGAGUCGAGCAUCACGGCCUCGAACCCCAAGUGGCGCGAGUUGCUUGGGAGUACUAACCUCUCGGCGCGGCAAGCGCCAAGGAAAACCGUAUUGAACACCUCUCCGGCCUGGUGCUGUGCAGUACCCAGGACGUGACGAGGAGUGUCUAUUGAAUAGAUAUAUAACGACUCUCGGCAACGGAUAUCUCGGCUCUCGCAUCGAUGAAGAACGUAGCGAAAUGCGAUACUUGGUGUGAAUUGCAGAAUCCCGUGAACCAUCGAGUCUUUGAACGCAAGUUGCGCCCGAAGCCAUCAGGUUGAGGGCACGUCUGCCUGGGCGUCACGCAUCUCGUCGCCCCCCUCCCCAAAUAUCUCGUCGGCCGACACUGACCAUAAGUGGUGUCGGGAGACGAUGCAUACGAAGGAGGAGGGACGGAUAUUGGCCUCCCGUUAUCCAAGCAUAGCGGCCGGCACAAAUGGUAUUCCGUGUCGAUGGAUGUCACACGAUAUGUGGUGGUUGGAUUUCUCAACUUGCAAACUUAUCGUGUGGGACUCCACCAAUCCACGGGCCCGACCCAAUGGCACAAGAUUGUCCUCGAUUGCGACCCCAGGUCAGGCGGGAUCACCCGCUGAGUUUAAGCAUAUCAAUAAGCGGAGGAAAAGAAACUUACAAGGAUUCCCCUAGUAACGGCGAGCGAACCGGGAAUAGCCCAACUUGAGAAUACGGUGGCCAUGUCACUCGAAUUGUA
rnacentral:rRNA from 1 species